GUUCCUGGUAGAUCACGCCUAAUAGAAGGUAAAUCACGCAAUAGGGGUUCCCUUUUUGCGUAACUGGCUCGUUAAGUUUUCUGGAAACAGUUUGAAAUGGUUGCAACUGGAUUUUAAGAAAGAUAUCGCAAGAUGACAAAGUUAAUUUGUGUAGUCCUCCUUAUGUCUUUGUACGCCGUCUGCUCUGCGUACUAUGGGGUACAAUCCCCCUACUCCUUCGGUGCUGCCCCAGCGAGUUUUACCCCCUAUGGACAAUCCUUUGGGGGACUUCCACCCUCAAUUGCUCAGAUGCAAGUUGAUACAUUAUACGAGGAAGAGGACCCAUUCCAAGGAAUUACACCGUUUUUUGUCUUAUUGCUUCUCAGUUUCUUGACAGGCUUGAUUCAGGGGAACUAACAAAUCAAAAGGAAAGAAGAAAUAGAUCCAAGAAAUGCAUUAGAUGAGUUGCUGAUCUAGGAUAGAUUAAACUGUAAAAAAUAAUGAUCUUAUUGUCAUUACA